CACCUCCUCCGCCCCCGUCGCUAAACCCCUCUUCCUCCAUUAUCGCUCCCCCUAAACCCUAGACUCCGCUCUACUCCUUUCUCUUCUCCCCCCUCUCCUCCAUCUUCGUCUCCUUCGCUUCGUCGCUCACUCCACCGCUCCAUGGCGAAGAAGCUGGGGAAGAAGGCGAGGAAGUUCGCGAAGAAGAACCUCCAAUCCGUGCUCAAGCGGAGGCGCAAGCUCAAAUCCACGUUCAAGAGAAGAGCACCUCCUCGUAGAGUGGGUCAGGGGGAUGGAUCUCAGGAAGAUGAGAAGAUGAAAGCGGAACAGAACAUAGAAGAAAAUGCUGAAGCUGUAUCUUUAGGUGGAUCUGCAUCUGUUGACUAUCUUGAGAACUUGUUUGGUGGAGAUGAUGAAGAUUUGGAUGAAGAUGUCUCAGAAAGUGAUGGCUAUCUGUCAGAGGAUCCUGAUUGCCCUUAUAUCUCUGAGAGCGAGAGAGAGAAUGAUUCUUCCGAGGAGAGUGGUCAGAAAGAUUUAACAAGAAAAAACAAGGAAAUUGUCUUGGAGCUUGUGGAACAAAAGAAAAAGUUGGACAGUUUGAUAGAAAAGGAACCGGACUUCUCAAGCUUUUUGGAAAAAUGCCGACAUGACAUGGAAAUUUCCCGGAGAGAAGAACUUUAUUCAGAUGAAGAAGAUGAUACAAGUUUUCCAGAUGGAGUAGGAGACACUGAUAAUAAGGUCCUCACAAGCCCGACCAUAGAUGUUUGGUGUUGGUUAGUUAAGGAAGAGCCAAAUGGGCCAGCACUUCGUAAUCUACUUAGCGGGUUUCAAUUUGCAUGUCGUUAUGGCAUUGACUCUGAUGAAGUUAUGGCUGGAAGAAUUCAAAGUAGAGAAGUGUUCUCUAAGAUAUUGAUGUUUCUUCUUUGUGAGGCAGAUGGCAUUUUCCGCAGAAUGUUGGGAAUUUCAGAUUCUUUGAGCAAAGUAAAUCUUCUAAAAGUGAAAAAUAAACCAGAGUGGAAGACUGCAAGUCCGCUAAUCAAGUCUUACUUAAGAAGUUCACUGUAUCUUCUAAAUCAAGUAACCGACAACCAGAUACUUAAUUUUGUCUUAUCUCAACUGAGGGCUUCAGUUGUGUUCUUUUCUGCUUUCCCGUCAAUAGCAAGGAGGCUCAUCAAGAUUUCAGUUCAUCUGUGGGCCACUGGUGAUCAGAGUCUCUCUUCUUCCUCUUUUCUUAUCAUACACGAUAUUGCCUCCCAGUCACCCUCUGACUAUGUUGAUAUGUGCUUGACAAAAACAUACAAGUCUUUUAUUGCAUCAUCCAAGUUUGUAGAUGAUACAAACUUGAAGCACAUAGAUUUUCUUGUCAACUCGCUAGUUGAACUAUAUUCCCUGGAAAUUGAGAAAUCAUAUGAAAGGGCACUUACUUCUUUGCAGCAGCUUGCUAGUAUAUUGAGACAGGCUUACAAAACAAAGAAAAAGGAAGAACUCAGGAAGAUACACAAUUGGCAGUACAUUAACUGCCUUAAACUGUGGGUUAAGUUUAUCACGUGCAACUUCAGGGAUAAUGAUUUCCAGCAAUUAAUAGUCUGUCUUAUCCAAGUCAUAACUGCAGUGGCUCACUUAUUUCAUGGCCCACGUUACUUACCUUUGAGACUUAAAUGCGUGCAAAUGCUCAAUGAGCUCUCUCUUUCUUGUGGAGUUUUCAUUCCUAUUGCAUCGUUGCUGUUCGACUCCCUAGAUUAUCGAGAACUCAGCAGUAUGAAUGAAGCUAGUGGAAUAAGGAUGAACUUUCCAUCUUUGUUGAAGGUUCCAAAGCAGUUGUUAAAAUCUCAAGAAUUCCAAACGGAGUGCAUUCUUUCAGUGGUUGAGCUUCUAUCUGCACAUUUUGGCCAGUGGAGUUAUCAUAUUUCAUUUCCUGAACUUGCUACUAUUCCACUCAUUCUCUUAAAAAGAUUCUAUGCAAAAACAAGCAUCGAAGGUCUCCGUCGUCCUGUUAAGCGGUUAAUAGACCAGGUUGAGCAGAACAGAGAUUUUAUUCAGAGAAAGCGAGACGAAGUCUCUUUCUCUCCAAAUGAUCAACAAUCUGUAGAGAGUUUCCUACAGUUCGAGAAAAGUGGUUCAAAUGCCUCGUUCACCCAGUACUACGCUAGUAUUUUACAGAGUUCGCGCGCUCGGAAUACGGUCGGAUUGAAGUAACAAAAUUGGUGGUAAAUAUGUUGCUCAAUUGGCAAUUUAGCUGGAGACCUAAACUAUUUUACCUCAACAAAAUGGGUUGCUGCUGUAUAAUUUCUCAACCUCCUGUUCCAAGUAACAGCAAGUAAGGGUUUCGGCGCACCUUUCUGAGUGAUUGGAUCGCAGUCGAUUCAGCUUCUUCGAGGGCAAAGGGUUCUAGUGAUCCGCAGAUCUCAUGAUGCGUAUGCUGAUUAUCUCAUUUUAGCCAAGGCCGAGUAUAAAGCUGUUGCAAUUCAUAUUUGAUCAUUUUUUUUUUCUAACUUGCGAUUUAGUAGACCUUUCUAGUCAACAAAUAUUUUGCUACGUGGGAAGUGUUGCUGCUAUAGGAUUAUGAUGACAUGAAAAGGGGUUAGGAGAAAAUGUUGAAGAGAGUCUCAUUACUAUAAAGUUUGUAUUAUAACGGGUAAGCAUCGCAAAAGAUUCAUCGAUAUUGGUAGAUAAAAUUUCCCUCCUCAAUUGCGUCGAAACCAUUUGUGAUAUCGUGUGA